UACAGAGGGUGCGAGCGUUAAUCGGAUUUACUGGGCGUAAAGCGUACGUAGGCGGCUUUUUAAGUCGGAUGUGAAAUCCCUGAGCUUAACUUAGGAAUUGCAUUCGAUACUGGGAAGCUAGAGUAUGGGAGAGGAUGGUAGAAUUCCAGGUGUAGCGGUGAAAUGCGUAGAGAUCUGGAGGAAUACCGAUGGCGAAGGCGGUCGACUGGCCUAUCACUGACGUUUAGGCACGAAAGCGUAGGUAGCAAAUGGG
rnacentral:rRNA from 1 species